UGGAUAUUUUGGGUUAUCUGGCCUAUUAAAAUCAGCUCUGUUACAUCUGCUGCCUCCUAUGAGCACAAGGCACAGAACGUAGACCCUGUAACCCUCAGAGGGCCUGAAGGAAAGCGAUGAUGGUGUGACCUGCCCAAGUGGGUGGUGCCCAAGGCAGAGAGCAUUCUAGACCCUCAUAGGCAACAGAGCCAGGAAUGGAAAUGAGGAUACAGAGAAUGCACAAAGGGGAACCAUGUGAGGACAGUGAGAAGGUGGCCACCUACAAGACGAGAUGAGAGGCCUCAGAAGAAAGAAACCAAGUCUAUAGACACCUUGAUCUUCAACUUCUGGCCUCC